rnacentral:lncRNA from 1 species
GCCUGUUUUACAGUUUUAAAUGCAGUAUGAGGUUUGAUGUUUUCAUUUUAUAGUUUCGUGUGCAUAUUUUACUGUUUUACUGAUUAUGGAUCGAAUGACUGGGAUGUUGAUGCUGUAUGUUGUCUGUUUGGCAUAAAUUACCGUUUUGCUUGUUUGUAUGUGGAUUGAUGAUGCUGACUGAGGGAAAAGAGAAUGAAAGAUUAUGU